rnacentral:lncRNA from 1 species
UUAAAUAGCAAAUUAGUUUAUAUACCUUUUUGGUCCCUGUCAAUAUUGAAAAUGAACAAAUUGAUCUCUCUCAAUAAUUUUUUUUUUAAAAUUACAUGGGUGAUUUUAAAAAUUCCAAAAUUUAUAUUUUUUAACAAAUAUAAAAAUUAUAAAAAAUCUUAAAGAAUAUAUAAAAAAAGUUAAAAAUUAAAAAUCUAAAAGAAACCUAAAACAAAAACCC